GACGAACGCUGGCGGCGUGCCUAAUACAUGCAAGUAGAACGCUGAAGGAGGAGCUUGCUCUUCUGGAUGAGUUGCGAACGGGUGAGUAACGCGUAGGUAACCUGCCUGGUAGCGGGGGAUAACUAUUGGAAACGAUAGCUAAUACCGCAUAACAGUAGAUGUUGCAUGACAUUUGCUUAAAAGGUGCAAUUGCACCACUACCAGAUGGACCUGCGUUGUAUUAGCUAGUUGGUGGGGUAACGGCUCACCAAGGCGACGAUACAUAGCCGACCUGAGAGGGUGAUCGGCCACACUGGGACUGAGACACGGCCCAGACUCCUACGGGAGGCAGCAGUAGGGAAUCGUCGGCAAUGGACGGAAGUCUGACCGAGCAACGCCGCGUGAGUGAAGAAGGUUGUCGGAUCGUAAAGCUCUGUUGUAAGAGAAGAACGAGUGUGAGAGUGGAAAGUUCACACUGUGACGGUAUCUUACCAGAAAGGGACGGCUAACUACGUG
rnacentral:rRNA from 1 species